rnacentral:rRNA from 1 species
AGGCAGCAGUAGGGAAUUUUGCGCAAUGGACGAAAGUCUGACGCAGCAACGCCGCGUGAGGGAUGACGGCCUUCGGGUUGUAAACCUCUGUUGAGUGGGAAGAAAAGCUUUGUGGUUAAUAUCCACAGAGUCUGACGGUACCACUCGAGGAAGCUCCGGCUAACUACGUGCCAGCAGCCGCGGUAAUACGUAGGGGGCUAGCGUUGUUCGGAAUCACUGGGCGUAAAGGGAGUGUAGGCGGACCGGUAAGUUAGGAGUUAAAUGUACGGGCUCAACCCGUGAUCUGCUUUUAAUACUGUCGGUCUUGAGUAUGGGAGAGGGAGAUGGAAUUCCAGGUGUAGCGGUGGAAUGCGUAGAUAUCUGGAAGAACACCAGUUGCGAAAGCGGUCUCCCUGGACCAAUACUGACGCUGAUGCUCGAAAGCUGGGGGAGCGAACAGGAUUAGAUACCCUGGUAGUCCCAGACGAAAACGAUGGAUACUAGUUGCCGGAGGAGUCUAUCCCUUCGGUGACGAAGCUAACGCAUUAAGUGUCCCGCCUGGGGAGUACGCUCUCAAGGGUGAAACUCAAAUGUAUUGACGGGGGCCCGCACAAGCGGUUGAGCAUGUGCUUUAAUUCGAUGCAACGCGAAGAACCUUACCUGGGUUUGACAUGGGGGUGUAAGUUUCCAGAGAUGGAAGCCUUUCCUUCGGGUACACCCCACACAGGUGCUGCAUGGUUGUCGUCAGCUCGUGUCGUGAGAUGUUGGGUUAAGUCCCGCUACGAGCGCAACCCCUGCCCUUAGUUGCCAUCAGGUAAAGCUGGGAACUCUAAGGGGACAAAAUGGUAUAACCAGGAGGAAGGUGGGGAUGACGUCAAAUCAUCAUGGCUCUUACGCCCAGGGCUAGACACGUGCUACAAUGGCAGGUACAGUGGGAUGCCAGCCUGCGAAGGUGAGCUAAUCCCUUAAAACCUGUCUCAGUCCGGAUUGGAGUCUGCAACUCGACUCCAUGAAGUUGGAAUCGCUAGUAUCGCGGAUCAGCACGCCGCGGUGAUACGUUCCCGGGCCUUGUACACACCGCCCGUCAAGCCAUGAA